rnacentral:rRNA from 1 species
AUUGAACGCUGGCGGCAUGCUUUACACAUGCAAGUCGAACGGCAGCGGGGAGGAGCUUGCUUCUCUGCCGGCGAGUGGCGAACGGGUGAGUAAUACAUCGGAACGUGUCGAGAAGGGGGGGAUAACCACCCGAAAGGGUUGCUAAUACCGCAUAAAUUCUGAGGAAGAAAGCUGGGGACCUAGGAAUAGGCCUAGCGCUUUUUGAGCCGGCGAUGUCGGAUUAGCUAGUUGGUGAGGUAAAGGCUUACCAAGGCGAAGAUCUGUAGCGGGACUGAGAGGAUGGUACGCCACAAUGGAAGUGAGACAGCGACCAGACUCCUACGGGAGGCAGCAGUGGGGAAUUUGGGACAAUGGGGGCAACCCUGAUCCAGCCAUGCCGCGUGUAUGAAGAAGGCCUUAGGGUUGUAAAGUACUUUUGUUAGGGAAGAAAAGUCAGCUGCGAAUAAUGGCUGAUACUGACGGUACCUAAAGAAUAAGCACCGGCUAACUACGUG